CGCGACCUAUUCCCUUAUCAGAGUAAAUUUUAUAAAUUUCAAAGCAUAUGCCGCGGUUGGGCGCUGAACCGCGGCAUAUAAGUUAAAAAAAUUUUCAAAAAUGCCAUUUUGGGUAAUUUUUUUUAAAUGAAUAGGUCGCGGUUCAGUGUAGAACCGCGGCAUAAAGGGGGAAUAUGCCGCGGUUAAGUGUAGAACCGCGGCAGAUUCCCUUCUGAAGGUUAAAAAACAAAAGCUCUGAACAGUUUUCUUCUUCACGCGAACCUGAAAACCUUNGUCCUCAUCUCCGCCGCGAUCGAGUUGCGANUUUCUGCCGUCAUUGUGCUUGCAUUGCUCCGACCGCCAUUCUUCUCCACCGNCCUUGCUUCUCUGNCGCACCGUUGCUUCUNUGUUGCGNCGUUCAUCUCCUGCGAGCCAACCUGGUUUGAUUUCUCNCCCUNCUUAUGCUUUUAUGCGAUUCCUUUUAAAUUUUAUUGUGCUUUUGUUGUUUUAUAUGCUUGUGAUCCUCAAAUUAAGGUCGGUGAUAUAUAUGCUUUUGUUGUUUUAUGCGAUUCCUUGAUUUCUCGCAUUGUCUAGGAAGUUUUGUUUUUGGGGCUUGUGGAAAGGAAUUGAGCGAAAACCACAUUUUGGGGGUCAAUUUGAAUAGUCUUGGUAUUAGUCAAAUAUUUGUUUGGUAUUAGUGAAAAAUUUGUUAGAGAUUAUAAGAAAGUUUUGCUAAAGAGGACUGUUUAUAAAGGCAUUAGUAAUCGGGUCUUGUUCAAUUGAAUAAAAACAUAGUGAUUAAUGACGACUGUUUAUAANN
rnacentral:lncRNA from 1 species